rnacentral:rRNA from 1 species
UACGUAGGGGGCUAGCGUUGUCCGGAAUCAUUGGGCGUAAAGAGCGUGUAGGCGGCCCGGUAAGUCCGCUGUGAAAGUCGGGGGCUCAACCCUCGAAUGCCGGUGGAUACUGUCGGGCUAGAGUGCGGAAGAGGCGAGUGGAAUUCCUGGUGUAGCGGUGAAAUGCGCAGAUAUCAGGAGGAACACCAAUGGCGAAGGCAGCUCGCUGGGACGUUACUGACGCUGAGACGCGAAAGCGUGGGGAGCAAACAGG